rnacentral:rRNA from 1 species
CCUACGGGUGGCAGCAGUGAGGAAUAUUGGUCAAUGGGCUUACGCCUGAACCAGCCAAGUCGCGUGAGGGAAGAAUGUCCUAUGGGUUGUAAACCUCUUUUGUCAGGGAGCAAUUGGCGCUACGAGUAGCGUUAUCGAGAGUACCUGAAGAAAAAGCAUCGGCUAACUCCGUGCCAGCAGCCGCGGUAAUACGGAGAUUGCGGGCGUUAUCGGGAUUUAUUGGGUUUAAGGGGGGCGUAGGCCGCAUGUCAAGCGUGCGGGGAAAUGUCCGGGCUCAACCCGGGCCUUGCAGCGCGAACUGGCGGGCUUGAGUCCGCGGAAAGCAUGCGGAAUGCGUGGUGUAGCGGUGAAAUGCUUAGAUAUGACGAAGAACCCCGAUUGCGAAGGCAGCUUGCUGCAUCCGAACUGACGCUGAGGCUCGAAAGCGCGGGUAUCGAACAGGAUUAGAUACCCGUGUAGUC